rnacentral:rRNA from 1 species
GAUGAAGGUCUUAGGAUUGUAAAAUUCUUUCACCGGGGACGAUAAUGACGGUACCCGGAGAAGAAGCCCCGGCUAACUUCGUGCCAGCAGCCGCGGUAAUACGAAGGGGGCUAGCGUUGCUCGGAAUUACUGGGCGUAAAGGGAGCGUAGGCGGAUAGUUUAGUCAGAGGUGAAAGCCCAGGGCUCAACCUUGGAAUUGCCUUUGAUACUGGCUAUCUUGAGUAUGGAAGAGGUAUGUGGAACUCCGAGUGUAGAGGUGAAAUACGUAGAUAUUCGGAAGAACACCAGUGGCGAAGGCGACAUACUGGUCCAUUACUGACGCUGAGGCUCGAAAGCGUGGGGAGCAAACAGGAUUAGAUACCCUGGUAGUCC